CGGUACUAAACCACUUAACAUAAACCAAUGUAGUUUGGCGGCGUUAUCCCUUAUCAAAGGAACUUGUUUUAUAAUCGACACCACUCGCUAUCCCCUACUUAGACUCACAGCUUAUAUACCGCCGUUACAAAAUUAAUUUUACAACUCCAAAUUUUUAAACACAUCUCACCUCAGGUCAAGGUAUAGCUAAUUUUUAAGAAAAAAUAAGUUACAUUAAACCCUAUUUAUGAACCUUUAAUUUAAAAAUUUCCACGAAACAGGAUUUGACCCCAACCCGUAAUUAGUAAUUACCCGUGAACAAGUUAUAUACGUGC
rnacentral:rRNA from 1 species